UGGGGAAUAUUGGGCAAUGGGCGCAAGCCUGACCCAGCCACGCCGCGUGAGUGAUGAAGGCCUUCGGGUCGUAAAGCUCUGUGGGGAGGGACGAAUCAGCUCUUGGCUAAUAUCCAAGAGCCCUGACGGUACCUCCUUAGCAAGCACCGGCUAACUCCGUGCCAGCAGCCGCGGUAAUACGGAGGGUGCAAACGUUGCUCGGAAUCAUUGGGCGUAAAGCGCACGUAGGCGGUCCGGCAUGUCGGGUGUGAAAUCCCUCGGCUUAACCGAGGAAGUGCAUUCGAAACUAUCGGACUUGAGUACUGAAGAGGGUCUCGGAAUUCCCGGUGUAGAGGUGAAAUUCGUAGAUAUCGGGAGGAACACCAGUGGCGAAGGCGGAGACCUGGGCAGAUACUGACGCUGAGGUGCGAAAGCGUGGGGAGCAAACAG
rnacentral:rRNA from 1 species